CAAAAGUAUCUUCAGCGGAGAAAGUGAUGUGUUGAUCAUUCCCCGGCUUGGCAGGUCAUUUCUGAGUAGCAGCGGCUUGUAUUUGAUAUUCAUUGACCGAUCUGAAUGAGUCUCGACUUAGAUGUGAUCCUCUCAUGAUGAAAUUUAGUUGAGCUCCCAUGAUUUAAUUUAAUUUAAGUUGCAAAUCCUUGGCGUUGGAUUGGUCGAGCUCCCUCUUUUCGUCCUCGGCGUUUGACUCUUGCUGAUCUUGUUAACGAUACUUCGUAAUGUCCUCUGUGGGUGGCAACUGUUGAAUCUAAGUUUGGAUGGACUUGCUAAAGAAUGAAACAAACUCGAUUGUGGGUGUUUCGAAGGUUUUUAUUGAUUAUAAGAGAGUUAGGUUGCAUAGUCUGUGAACAAGAGGGAAAAUUACUCAUCACUCGGCAGAGUUGGCCAUAAAAGUACAAAUCGGUGAGAAAUAACAAAGUGUAAAACCCUAAUUUCUAGUCGUCAGUCUCUUGUGUGUUUAAGUCUGGAUCUCAUUCAGGGUUCCUUUUGUCAUUCUUUUAUACGUAGACCUCGUCUUUCUCUUGUCCUAAGUCAAUUUGAUCUAAUGGGUCGGGUUAUGCUUUACGGGACGAACAUUGGGGCUAUCGAGCCGAGCUCGGUACACGGUGAAUAAAGUCAAACUGUCUAACUGAGUAUGAGUGUCAGUCUUCUUACGCCGAGUGAUGUUAAGUUGGGCCGGAAGAACCAGGGGCGGAGGUAGUGAAAGAGUAAAGGUCAGCUGACCCUACACUUUUUAAAAAAAGAUAUGUUUUCCUUUGAUAAAAAUUCAUUGACUCCACUAAAAAUAGAAAUUUUGCCCCACAAAAACAAUUAGAAAACGUUAAAAAUGCAAGGUUUAAUUUACUUACAUCUAUAUUUAUAUAUAUAGAAGGGUUUUCUUCACUCCUAGACCAUCCACAUCAGAUUCCAUGUCACUAAUUCGGAGUAUGUUGUGACGACAUGUGUCACUGUCAAUCAAAAGUCAAUGUUUCAUUAAUUUUUGAGUUAAAUGAGUUUUAUGUGUUUACUACGGUCCAAAUACAUCUUCUCUAAAAAAAACUGUGUACGAAACUUAGGGAAAGUGGCCAUCAAGCAACAAUUCCCGUUCAGUCAACUGUCAAUAGAAAUCCAACAGUUUUACCGGGGACGAACGAUUCCGAUCAAUGUCAGUUGGAAGCCGAAUAGACUUCUUUAAUCUGGCAUCGUUACGGAAAUUAACUUGGUUCAUGCAUCAUCAUUAACAUUCAUAUUAAUACCUACUCUCUACUUCUCACAUGAUCUCACAUUCAAUGAUUCCCUUCAUUCAUUUCUUUGUGUUAAUCCUCCAUUAUAAAUAUGAAGGUUUUCUUCCAACAAAAUCAUCAGUUCAUUUUUCUUAAUAAACAACACAAAAAGGUGAUGAAAAAAGAUUUGUUAAGCCCAUGGUUAUACUUAACGGAUUGUGACAGAAAAGUGAUAAGAAACAGAAAAAAUGAGAUGAGAAACAAAAUAAAUAGAGAAGAAGAGAAAAGAGCAAGACGAUAGAAGAGGGAAGAUAACUUUUUUUUGGUGAACUUUUUUUUUAAAAGAUCUAUUUAUCUUUAGCUCAUAAUAAUUUCCAACAUUUUGGUGUUGAUUUUUCAUUACUGUGGCUCCCUAAAAGGUUGUUGGCCCUGAUCUCAAGGAUACAACAGUUAGUGCAGACGCUUAUGGAUAUAGAAUCUUGUGUGAGUAUGCAUGAUUGUGAUUUGUGAGUAUAUUUCAAUUACGUCUUUUCCAACAACUGGACUGUGAAUUCUAUCUAACUUGGCUGCUUUUAUGUCUCCACAAUUGGAUGAGUUUUGAUAUAUACAUAGAAUGCAUUUUUCUUAUUAUGUAUUUUUGGUUACUAACACGCCCGUAGCAUGGAGAGAGAGAGAGAGAGAGAGAGAGAGAGAGAGAGAGAGAGAGAGAGAGAGAGAGAGAGAGAGAGAGAGAGAGAGAGAGAGAGAGAGAGAGAGAGAGGAGAGAGAGAGAGAGAGAGAGAGAGAGAGAGAGAGAGAGAGAGAGAUAGAUAGAUAGAUAGAGAGAGAUAGAGAGAGAGAGAGAGAGAGAUUAUGCUAAUAGUAAAAAAUAGUUUUUUGGUGAAUUUUAAACUAAGAAAAUAGUAUAUCUCAUAUACACCUCUCGCAAAUGUAAACCUAAACACACAAAUAACAAAUCAUAUAAAAAAUAAUAACAAAUCAUAUAAAAUUUGGAUUUAUAUUAGUCUCAGAGUUAAUUUAUAUAACUACAAAACAUUAAAGAAAAAAUUAUAAAAGCAAUAAGUACGUUUUAUCUUUUAAACUUUAGUUACACAUUAGUUUUAAGCCCAAAUUUUAUCAAGCCCAAACUGUAUAGUAAUUUCUGUUUGAGAAAAAAAACAUAAAAGUAAACAAAUAAGGAAACUUAGAAUUCUUGUUUGUCUAACUUGUUCCUCUUUAUCGACCAACACAAGAGAACUAAUCCCCACAAACGAUAUAUUAAAGUCUCCGAUUAGUUUCUUUAUUUUUAUGUUAUAUUUUGGUCAUUGGUUCAUAUUUUAUAUUCUAGUAUAUUAUUAAAUUUGAGAUGUCAUCUGUUCAAAGUUUUAAAAGUACUAGAGAUUUUCCCGGGCUACGCCCGGAUUGUUUUAAAAAUUUAAUUUAUUAAGGUUUUAAUAUUUUUAUUUGAAUGUAUAUAUAUAAUUGGAUCAAUUAUAGAAAUAAAAUUCCUCAGAUAAAUACAAAAUAUUUAAACUAUUCAUGUUAGACAAAUUUAAGAUAAUAAUAACUCAAAAUUUCUUAUUAUGAUUGAUUUAGGUUCUUAUGAAAACAACUGUUAAAUUGACAACUAAUUUAAACUUCGGAAUAAUUGAGUUUUCAAAAAUUAUACACUUCUGCAUUGAUCCUUUGGUUUUUAUUAUAUAAUUUGAGUAUCUAUAUCGAUUCAUUUUUAUCUUUCUUUAGAAAGUGGUUGAAUUAGGAACAAUUAAUAUCACAGUGACUGAAUACAAUGGUGAUGAGAAUGAAUCGUAAGAAUCAUGUCAUUAUUUUCUUUGCCAUGCGAGAAAGAAAUUUGGAACAAAAUAUCCUAGAUCAUGUUAAUAUUUUGCAACAAUUUCUUUAUUUUUUAUUGAAAGCAUAUAGUAUCUGUACAGAAAAUUCAAAAGUAUUAGUUGUUUUAAAACUAUUAUUUGUAAGAAACUCUUAACUGAAGCAAAAGAAUGACUUUCUGGCACUCGCUUUUCUGAUACCUUUCUUCAGUUCUUUCUUUACUCAGUUGGCUUAGUGUCUAAACUUCAAGCAGAAGAAGACCACCCUUAAGUUUCAAGGCACAAAAGAGUUGAUAGAUUAAAAACUCAACAGUCUCAUUAAAUCAAAGCUCAAUGAUUUGUUUCACAUUUAUAUGAAACUCAGAAAUAAAACACAUUUACCAAAAUGAAACUUAAACUGUGAAUCUAAAUAUCUAAUAUGAACUUUUUAAAAGUAUCUAAUAUGAAUUUCUGUAUAGUGAUCCAAAAUACAGAAUAAUCAAAGGCAUUGGGAUGAUCUAUAAAUGCAAAAUGAACUAUAAUAUUCACUCUAA